CCUACGGGUGGCAGCAGUGGGGAAUAUUGGGCAAUGGAGGCAACUCUUACCCAGCAAUGCCGCGUGAAUGAAGAAGGUCUUCGGAUUGUAAAGUUCUGUAAGUGGGGACGAAAAAAAUGACGGGAACCAAGGAAUAAGCCCCGGCUAACUACGUGCCAGCAGCCGCGGGAAUACGUAGGGGGCAAGCGUUGUUCGGAAUGACUGGGCGGAAAGGGGGUGUAGGCGGUGUAGCAAGUUCGAAGUGAAAUACCGCGAGCUUAACUCAGGUGCUGCUUCUAAAACUGCUAUACUUGAGUGCAGUAGAGGCACGUGGCUUUCCUUGUUUAGCCGUCUAAUGCGUACUUAUUAG
rnacentral:rRNA from 1 species